GCCUCGGUGGUGUAGCGGUAGCAUGCGUCCUCAGCGAGUGAGACGUGGGUUAAACUCCCGCCUGAGGUU